CUCUCUCUCUCUCUCUCUCUCUCUCUCUCUUCCACACACACACAUAUAUAAUCAACUCAAGAUGCGAAACCCACCACAAUCCAUAUGUGCAAUGGGUAUGUACAAAGAUGAUACCGCUUCCAGUUGAUCGCAACAAUGAUACUGAAAC